GGGUUGUGAGGUUAAGCGACUAAGCGUACACGGUGGAUGCCCUGGCAGUCAGAGGCGAUGAAGGACGUGCUAAUCUGCGAUAAGCGUCGGUAAGGUGAUAUGAACCGUUAUAACCGGCGAUUUCCGAAUGGGGAAACCCAGUGUGUUUCGACACACUAUCAUUAACUGAAUCCAUAGGUUAAUGAGGCGAACCGGGGGAACUGAAACAUCUAAGUACCCCGAGGAAAAGAAAUCAACCGAGAUUCCCCCAGUAGCGGCGAGCGAACGGGGAGCAGCCCAGAGCCUGAAUCAGUGUGUGUGUUAGUGGAAGCGUCUGGAAAGGCGCGCGAUACAGGGUGACAGCCCCGUACACAAAAAUGCACAUGCUGUGAGCUCGAUGAGUAGGGCGGGACACGUGGUAUCCUGUCUGAAUAUGGGGGGACCAUCCUCCAAGGCUAAAUACUCCUGACUGACCGAUAGUGAACCAGUACCGUGAGGGAAAGGCGAAAAGAACCCCGGCGAGGGGAGUGAAAAAGAACCUGAAACCGUGUACGUACAAGCAGUGGGAGCACGCUUAGGCGUGUGACUGCGUACCUUUUGUAUAAUGGGUCAGCGACUUAUAUUCUGUAGCAAGGUUAACCGAAUAGGGGAGCCGAAGGGAAACCGAGUCUUAACUGGGCGUUAAGUUGCAGGGUAUAGACCCGAAACCCGGUGAUCUAGCCAUGGGCAGGUUGAAGGUUGGGUAACACUAACUGGAGGACCGAACCGACUAAUGUUGAAAAAUUAGCGGAUGACUUGUGGCUGGGGGUGAAAGGCCAAUCAAACCGGGAGAUAGCUGGUUCUCCCCGAAAGCUAUUUAGGUAGCGCCUCGUGAAUUCAUCUCCGGGGGUAGAGCACUGUUUCGGCAAGGGGGUCAUCCCGACUUACCAACCCGAUGCAAACUGCGAAUACCGGAGAAUGUUAUCACGGGAGACACACGGCGGGUGCUAACGUCCGUCGUGAAGAGGGAAACAACCCAGACCGCCAGCUAAGGUCCCAAAGUCAUGGUUAAGUGGGAAACGAUGUGGGAAGGCCCAGACAGCCAGGAUGUUGGCUUAGAAGCAGCCAUCAUUUAAAGAAAGCGUAAUAGCUCACUGGUCGAGUCGGCCUGCGCGGAAGAUGUAACGGGGCUAAACCAUGCACCGAAGCUGCGGCAGCGACGCUUAUGCGUUGUUGGGUAGGGGAGCGUUCUGUAAGCCUGUGAAGGUGUGCUGUGAGGCAUGCUGGAGGUAUCAGAAGUGCGAAUGCUGACAUAAGUAACGAUAAAGCGGGUGAAAAGCCCGCUCGCCGGAAGACCAAGGGUUCCUGUCCAACGUUAAUCGGGGCAGGGUGAGUCGACCCCUAAGGCGAGGCCGAAAGGCGUAGUCGAUGGGAAACAGGUUAAUAUUCCUGUACUUGGUGUUACUGCGAAGGGGGGACGGAGAAGGCUAUGUUGGCCGGGCGACGGUUGUCCCGGUUUAAGCGUGUAGGCUGGUUUUCCAGGCAAAUCCGGAAAAUCAAGGCUGAGGCGUGAUGACGAGGCACUACGGUGCUGAAGCAACAAAUGCCCUGCUUCCAGGAAAAGCCUCUAAGCAUCAGGUAACAUCAAAUCGUACCCCAAACCGACACAGGUGGUCAGGUAGAGAAUACCAAGGCGCUUGAGAGAACUCGGGUGAAGGAACUAGGCAAAAUGGUGCCGUAACUUCGGGAGAAGGCACGCUGAUAUGUAGGUGAAGCGACUUGCUCGUGGAGCUGAAAUCAGUCGAAGAUACCAGCUGGCUGCAACUGUUUAUUAAAAACACAGCACUGUGCAAACACGAAAGUGGACGUAUACGGUGUGACGCCUGCCCGGUGCCGGAAGGUUAAUUGAUGGGGUCAGCGCAAGCGAAGCUCUUGAUCGAAGCCCCGGUAAACGGCGGCCGUAACUAUAACGGUCCUAAGGUAGCGAAAUUCCUUGUCGGGUAAGUUCCGACCUGCACGAAUGGCGUAAUGAUGGCCAGGCUGUCUCCACCCGAGACUCAGUGAAAUUGAACUCGCUGUGAAGAUGCAGUGUACCCGCGGCAAGACGGAAAGACCCCGUGAACCUUUACUAUAGCUUGACACUGAACAUUGAGCCUUGAUGUGUAGGAUAGGUGGGAGGCUUUGAAGUGUGGACGCCAGUCUGCAUGGAGCCGACCUUGAAAUACCACCCUUUAAUGUUUGAUGUUCUAACGUUGACCCGUAAUCCGGGUUGCGGACAGUGUCUGGUGGGUAGUUUGACUGGGGCGGUCUCCUCCUAAAGAGUAACGGAGGAGCACGAAGGUUGGCUAAUCCUGGUCGGACAUCAGGAGGUUAGUGCAAUGGCAUAAGCCAGCUUGACUGCGAGCGUGACGGCGCGAGCAGGUGCGAAAGCAGGUCAUAGUGAUCCGGUGGUUCUGAAUGGAAGGGCCAUCGCUCAACGGAUAAAAGGUACUCCGGGGAUAACAGGCUGAUACCGCCCAAGAGUUCAUAUCGACGGCGGUGUUUGGCACCUCGAUGUCGGCUCAUCACAUCCUGGGGCUGAAGUAGGUCCCAAGGGUAUGGCUGUUCGCCAUUUAAAGUGGUACGCGAGCUGGGUUUAGAACGUCGUGAGACAGUUCGGUCCCUAUCUGCCGUGGGCGCUGGAGAACUGAGGGGGGCUGCUCCUAGUACGAGAGGACCGGAGUGGACGCAUCACUGGUGUUCGGGUUGUCAUGCCAAUGGCACUGCCCGGUAGCUAAAUGCGGAAGAGAUAAGUGCUGAAAGCAUCUAAGCACGAAACUUGCCCCGAGAUGAGUUCUCCCUGACCCUUUAAGGGUCCUGAAGGAACGUUGAAGACGACGACGUUGAUAGGCCGGGUGUGUAAGCGCAGCGAUGCGUUGAGCUAACCGGUACUAAUGAACCGUGAGGCUUAACCUUACAACGCCGAAG
rnacentral:rRNA from 1 species